rnacentral:rRNA from 1 species
AAUUUUGGAGGAGGCAGCAGGGGGUAAUCUAGCACAGGGGGGGGCAGCAUGAAGCAACCAGGGUGGAAGAGUGAUGAAGUUCGGAAGGUAAAAAUUUUUUUUAAUAGAGGAAGAUAAUGACGGUACCCUAAGAAGAAGCCCCGGCUAACUUCGUGCCAGCAGCCGCGGUAAUACGAAGGGGGCAAGCGUUUUUCGGAUUUACUGGGCGUAAAGCGCGCGUAGGCGGUUUUUUAAGUCAGGGGUGAAAUCCCGGGGCUCAACCUGGGAACUGCCUUUGAUACUGGAAGUCUGGAGUAUGGCAGAGGUGAGUGGAAUUCCGGGUGUAGCGGUGAAAUUCGUAGAUAUUCGGAGGAACACCAGUGGCGAAGGCGGCUCCCUGGGCCAUUACUGACGCUGAGGCAAGAAAGCGUGGGGAGCAAACAGGAUUAGAUACCCUGGUAGUCCACGCCGUAAACGAUUAAUUUAGUCGUUGGGGAUUUUACUUUUCAGUGGCGCAGCUAACGCAUAAGUAUCCGCCUGGG